AAAGAAGAGGCACGUGACGUCAGAGUAUGGGCCUGUGAUAUGACCUGCAGCUUCUGGGAACAAGACCUUCCGCCUGGCUGGGGUUCUUGUGACAAACCUUGACAGCAGCAGGUCUGGUUCCCUGACACGGACUCACAUCCCCGCAGUUCUCCGGUGAGCAGGAACCCCCUUCAGCGGC